GGGAGGGAGGAUUCAGGGAGAGACUGAGUAGAGAAGAAGUCAGGGCUCCUGCAGGAUUCAGUGCUAAGCUGUGUGGUGUCAGAGAGAUUACACCCAGCGGCUUGCACAAAGUGUCUCCAUACUGCAGAGUUAUUCCCCAGCAGUCUUCACAAGCCAUGGUGGCCUUGGAAAGCAGCAGCCAGCUCCACUGAAUGUAAAGAUCAACACUCCAUGCCAAACAGUGAUACAUCGCUUUUCGUUGAUCUUGUUUCUAAAGAGGAUUUUGAAAAUCAGAUCCCAAAUUAUCCGACUAGACUCUGACUGAGGAGCUGCUGUACCCAACUAUCAGGAAAACUAACACCAAAGAAAU